rnacentral:rRNA from 1 species
GACGAACCGAGCGAACGUUGUUCGGAAUCACUGGGCUUAAAGGGCGCGUAGGCGGGUACUCAAGUCUGUGGUGAAAUCCUCCGGCUCAACCGGAGAACUGCCAUGGAUACUGGGUGUCUCGAGGGUGGUAGGGGUAUGCGGAACUAUCGGUGGAGCGGUGAAAUGCGUUGAUAUCGAUAGGAACUCCGGUGGCGAAGGCGGCAUACUGGACCACUUCUGACGCUGAGGCGCGAAAGCCAGGGAAGCAAACGGG